CCUACGGGAGGCUGCAGUGAGGAAUAGUGGUCAAUGGGCGCGAGCCUGAACCAGCCAAGUAGCGUGAAGGAUGAAUGCCCUACGGGUUGGAAACUUCUUUUAUAAAGGAAUAAAGUGAGGCACGUGUGCCUUGUUGUAUGUACGUUAUGAAUAAGGAGCGGCUAACUCCGUGCCAGCAGCCGCGGUAAUACGGAGGAUCCGAGCGUUAUCCGGAUUUAUUGGGUUUAAAGGGAGCGUAGUUGGGUUGUUAAGUCCGUUGUGACAGUUUGCGGCUCAACCGUAAAAUUGCAAUUGAUACUGGCAGCCUUGAGUACAGUUGCGGUCGUCGGCAUUCGUGUUGUAGCGG
rnacentral:rRNA from 1 species